AGCUCCAGUAGCGUAUAUUAAAGUUGUUGCAGUUGAAAAGCUCGUAGUUGGAUUUCUGGUUUGGCGCAGCUGACCCGCCUCCGUUAGGAGUGUGAGUGUCGGCCCGCGCCUUCCAUCCUCCCAGAGAACGUGCCUGCCCUUCACUGGGCCGGGUACGCAAUCUGGGACAUUUACUUUGAAAAAAUUGGAGUGUUCAAGGCAGGCGAAUGCCACGUACAGAUUAGCAUGGAAUAAUAAUUUAGGACUUUGGUUCUAUUUUGUUGGUUUCUAGGACUGAAGUAAUGAUUGAUAGGGAUAGUUGGGGGUGCUAGUAUUCAACGGCCAGAGGUGAAAUUCUUGGAUUCGUUGAAGACUAACUUAUGCGAAAGCAUUCACCAAGGAUGUCUUCUUUAAUCAAGAA
rnacentral:rRNA from 1 species